UGCGUAGGCGGGCUAAUAAGUCAGUGGUGAAAUCUUCCGGCUCAACCGGGAACCUGCCAUUGAUACUGUUAGUCUUGAGUUCGGUUGAGGUAGGCGGAACGUGUAAUGUAGCGGUGAAAUGCUUAGAUAUUACACAGAACACCAAUUGCGUAGGCAGCUUACUAGACCGACACUGACGCUGAGGCACGAAAGCGUGGGGAGCGAACAGGAUUAGAUACCCUGGUAGUCC
rnacentral:rRNA from 1 species